UAUUCGUUCAAAACAUCGCAAGUACAAUUGAGUAAGUGACGAUGCAUCCCUGGCUUAGUGCCUAUCGGAGUGCAUAAUCAAAACAAAACGAAACAAAAACAGCUGACUGAAAAUUGCAUUAAAUGCAAAUUUGAUGCUGCUAAUUGCUGCAAUUAUACAAAAUGCAGAGGGGCGCAAAUACUGAAGAUUGCGAGAUUGCAUUAACUGCAAGCUGACUAGCAGAGCUGCUGCCAUACAAAGUGUAGAGGGGCGCAAAACUGGAAAUAGCAGAAUUGCAUUAAUUGCAAGAUGACUAGCAGAGUACAUCAACCACAGCAAGGAGGAUUAGCUAAGUGGACUCUACAGCCAAUAGGCCACAUAAUUAAGUUAGUUUUAAGUUAAUUUGAAAUGUGCAUUUAGGCGCAAGCGCUGUCAUAUAAGU
rnacentral:sRNA from 1 species